rnacentral:rRNA from 1 species
GGUUAAGCGACUAAGCGUACACGGUGGAUGCCCUGGCAGUCAGAGGCGAUGAAGGACGUGCUAAUCUGCGAAAAGCGUCGGUAAGGUGAUAUGAACCGUUAUAACCGGCGAUGUCCGAAUGGGGAAACCCAGUGCAAUUCGUUGCACUAUCGUUAACUGAAUACAUAGGUUAACGAGGCGAACCGGGGGAACUGAAACAUCUAAGUACCCCGAGGAAAAGAAAUCAACCGAGAUUCCCCCAGUAGCGGCGAGCGAACGGGGAGCAGCCCAGAGUCUGAAUCAGCUUGUGUGUUAGUGGAACGGUCUGGAAAGUCCGACGGUACAGGGUGAUAGUCCCGUACACCAAAAUGCACAGGCUGUGAACUCGAAGAGUAGGGCGGGACACGUGGUAUCCUGUCUGAAUAUGGGGGGACCAUCCUCCAAGGCUAAAUACUCCUGACUGACCGAUAGUGAACCAGUACCGUGAGGGAAAGGCGAAAAGAACCCCGGCGAGGGGAGUGAAAAAGAACCUGAAACCGUGUACGUACAAGCAGUGGGAGCACCUUCGGGUGUGACUGCGUACCUUUUGUAUAAUGGGUCAGCGACUUAUAUUCUGUAGCAAGGUUAACCGUAUAGGGGAGCCGCAGGGAAACCGAGUCUUAACUGGGCGUUAAGUUGCAGGGUAUAGACCCGAAACCCGGUGAUCUAGCCAUGGGCAGGUUGAAGGUUGGGUAACACUAACUGGAGGACCGAACCGACUAAUGUUGAAAAAUUAGCGGAUGACUUGUGGCUGGGGGUGAAAGGCCAAUCAAACCGGGAGAUAGCUGGUUCUCCCCGAAAGCUAUUUAGGUAGCGCCUCGUGAAUUCAUCUUCGGGGGUAGAGCACUGUUUCGGCUAGGGGGUCAUCCCGACUUACCAACCCGAUGCAAACUACGAAUACCGAAGAAUGUUAUCACGGGAGACACACGGCGGGUGCUAACGUCCGUCGUGAAGAGGGAAACAACCCAGACCGCCAGCUAAGGUCCCAAAGUCAUGGUUAAGUGGGAAACGAUGUGGGAAGGCACAGACAGCCAGGAUGUUGGCUUAGAAGCAGCCAUCAUUUAAAGAAAGCGUAAUAGCUCACUGGUCGAGUCGGCCUGCGCGGAAGAUGUAACGGGGCUAAACCAUGCACCGAAGCUGCGGCAGCGACACUAUGUGUUGUUGGGUAGGGGAGCGUUCUGUAAGCCUGCGAAGG